CCUACGGGAGGCUGCAGUCGAGAAUCAUUCACAAUGGGGGAAACCCUGAUGGGGCGACGCCGCGUGGGGGAAUGAAGGUCUGCGGAUUGUAAACCCCUGUCAUGUGGGAGCAAAUUAAAAAGAUAGUACCACAAGAGGAAGAGACGGCUAACUCUGUGCCAGCAGCCGCGGUAAUACAGAGGUCUCAAGCGUUGUUCGGAAUCACUGGGCGUAAAGUGUGCGUAGGCUGUUUCGUAAGUCGUGUGUGAAAGGCGCGGGCUCAACCCGCGGACGGCACAUGAUACUGCGAGACUAGAGUAAUGGAGGGGGAACCGGAAUUCUCGGUGUAGCCGUGAAAUGCGUAGAUAUCGAGAGGAACACUCGUGGCGAAGGCGGGUUCCUGGACAUUAACUGACGCUGAGGCACGAAGGCCAGGGGAGCGAAAGGGAUUAGAUACCCUGGUAGUC
rnacentral:rRNA from 1 species